AUCUAUGCAUAGAUUUUCAAUUCAUUGCUAACAUAUUCAUGACUAUUAGCUAACAACCAGUAUGUUCAUACAAAGACCUGAGCUAACCCACUUAGGAUGUUCCUUUUAACUUCCAGCAUUACAUAAAAUGGAGUUGCUAAGAAAAAUGAGACAGUGGCUAUAAACAUUAUCAUAACAUGAACUCCGAAUCCCACUUUGGCUUCUUUCUCUCUUCCCUUCUCUUCUUCCUCCCAACCCCUAUUUCCCUCUACUAUCGACGGUUGCGACGACGACGUCUGCGGCCACAUCGUUCCCUUCCCCGAUGAACACGCCUCGUCGCCCACCAGAAACCUCUGUCACAGCGGUGAUCUAGGCCCCACAGAUCGAAGGAACUCGCCGUUACCCGAUUCCACUGUAGAGCAAGACAUGUAGAUAAUCAAUUUUUAAGGUAUCAACUGGUUAUCUCCAUUUGUUCAGAAGCAUAAAGGAAUUAACUUAUGUUCCUUGGAUGUUAAUGGAACUGUGUUUGCCUACGGAAGUACGAUGUGACGAGUAGUGGAAAGACACAUAUUUCCAAAGCAACCUAUGAGGUUGUUACGAGUAUUCAAGGUUGAGCUGACUUUGUUGGAUUCGAUCCUUUAGAUCUUCUUUUCUCUAUAGUUGAAUUAUGGAAAAAGGUUGAGCUGAUUAAGUUCAUGCUUUCUUAUUACUAGUUUGUGUCUUCUUAUUAACAAUGGUAUAUACCUGUUUUGCAACUAGGGGAUGCAGUUUUAUUAUUAGUUUAUAUUACAUACCACUGCCUCCAGGGUUAUAACCAUGAUUUUUAUGGUUUUCUUCUAAUUAGUUACUUUUUUUCUAAUUUUUUCUAAUGUGUUUACACUGACUAUCUUUUUUAUCAGAAGCAGAAAGGGUUCUUGGUGAACUAUUUGGUCAUAAUUUUCAGGUAAUAGAUUCUUACAUUUUUCAUGAUUACCCAACCUGUUGCUAUCGUUAAUAUAAUGAAGGCUACAAUAUUAGAAUGCAACAUCGCAUUAACUACUUAAUUUCUUGAAUUUCUAUUGAAGAGACAUAGGAUAAUUGGGAUGGUGUUCUGAUCCUCCUUUGCCUCCAUGUGCAGCGUAGCUAAAAUGAUAAGUACCUUAGGUAUUGGCAAAGGAAGCCAGAAACAGAGCUUACUAUGGGAAAUUAAAUGAUUGCCUUUUCUUUUUUGCAAGCUCCCUUGGGAAGCUGCCAAAGCACUAUUAUUUGCUGAAACUAUCCAAAUGCGCAUUAUGACUAAUACUACUUCAUAAUUGCAGAUUUUGAUUGCUUUUGCCCCUCAAAGUUCCUGCAUUAAGGUUAGACUAUUAAAUAUGCUUCACUGGUUGAUGGUUGGUUGAAUUGUGGUUUAACAAGAGUUAUAGUCUUGAAACAAUAUUCAUUUGUUAGCUUGUCAACUGUAGGUGUUCUAUUUGUUGAGGACCAGUUCGCUCAUUACUAAUUUGAAAUCUGAAAACAAAUUCUAAUUUUGAAAUAUCAAAAGAAAUAUAUUUCUUCUGCUAUAUUUAUUCAACUGUAACUUGGCUUGCAAGAGUUUCUUCUGGAAAAGCUGGUACCAUAGCCUAUUACAUUGAAUGACAGGUUCCAUUUACCUUAUUGGGAGCAAUUUGAUGGAUAAGUCUGGAAGAAGACUUCUUAUAACCGUAAAUAUAUUUUCAAGAACUCAUUUAUAAAUGCCCUAUAAAAGAAAAAUGAUUAAGAACUUAUAUGUUUAGCAAAGUUCUUGUAUAUAUGCAGGUUUCCCUAAGUGGACAUUCGUGGACAGCUUUAUUAUCGAAAUUCACCUUCUUGACAUCAUGAAUCAGAAUCAAGGCUCAUUGCUUGAGUGGGUGCCAACAUUAGCAAUUGCUGCUGUGUUGGUGAGCUGAUAGCGCACAAUUAUACAGUCGUUUUAUAGUUGAUAGUUUAACUAUACAGUCUUUAAAUUCCAGUUUGACUUGAAAUUCUUUGAUCUUUUUCUUUCUUGUAAUCAUAAUGUAUAACAGCAUUUUCUAUUGGGUUGGGGGUUGCUCCCUGGAUGAUAAUGUCUUGAGGUAUGCAUCAUUUGACACCAAAAUUGCAUUGGUAUGUAGCUAGACUCUUCUGGCAUAUCUGUAUUAUUAAAUAAAAGCUAGUAAAAUUUGAAA